rnacentral:lncRNA from 1 species
AGGAUUAGAAGUCAGAACCGCCGUGCCUAUGAUGAAGUGUUCCGCAUGAGCAUCCUGGCCCUCCUAAGCUGGGUGGGGAUUCAGUGGAUCGCAGGUAGAUCCUGCAAAAAGACCACGCAGAGGAUCGAGAUCCGAUACGGGGUCUCCGGAGAGAACAGCGCCUCUCCAGGAGAGGCCAGUCUAAUCAAGACAAGAAAAUGAGAG